rnacentral:rRNA from 1 species
ACCCCUGUGAACAUACCUAUACGUUGCCUCGGCGGAUCAGCCCGCGCCCUGUAAAAAGGGACGGCCCGCCCGAGGACCCUAAACUCUGUUUUUAGUGGAACUUCUGAGUAAAACAAACAAAUAAAUCAAAACUUUCAACAACGGAUCUCUUGGUUCUGGCAUCGAUGAAGAACGCAGCAAAAUGCGAUAAGUAAUGUGAAUUGCAGAAUUCAGUGAAUCAUCGAAUCUUUGAACGCACAUUGCGCCCGCCAGUAUUCUGGCGGGCAUGCCUGUUCGAGCGUCAUUUCAACCCUCAAGCUCAGCUUGGUGUUGGGACUCGCGGUAACCCGCGUUCCCCAAAUCGAUUGGCGGUCACGUCGAGCUUCCAUAGCGUAGUAAUCAUACACCUCGUUACUGGUAAUCGUCGCGGCCACGCCGUAAAACCCCAACUUCUGAAUGUUGACCUCGGAUCAGGUAGGAAUACCCGCUGAACUUAAGCAUAUCA